UAAUACUUUCAAUCAUGCAAUCCUGACUAAGAUUAAAACUAUCCAAGAGAAAUUUCAGAGUCAAAGAUUUCUAAAUUUCAUGCAAUGCUGAGGAAAGCAAUCAGCAAUUCUAACAGCAAAGAUUGUAAGGAACUAUGAAGCUAAAUUAGGAAACACCAACAAAGAGGGGAAUGAUACUGCCCUGAUUCAUGAUGAUUAAGGUU
rnacentral:lncRNA from 1 species